rnacentral:lncRNA from 1 species
CACAUACUUCGUAUAGAAUGCCCAAAGUGACAAAAAUAAUAAAAUCAAGUCAAGGUUCAGUUGUUAGUAGUAUAUAUAUUAUGAAAAUAUGUAAAUGAAAAGAUAUGGCCUGAAAGUGACUAUCUCUCUUCUUCAGCAAGAAUUAUAUGAACCAAAUCUAAGUUGUCCUAUUUAGCUAUUCACACAAGAAUAUAUCCAUCCUUUAAUUACUGUCAACGAUUCGAAGGACUCAAGAACAGUAAGAUGGAAACUCCUUCAACUAAUGAAACUUAUGGUGUCCUAUUCGUGGUAUGAAAUAACGACUUCAUAUCCAACUUUCAGCUAAUCACAAUAUCAAAUCUAUAUAAAGAUAAAGGACAAUUCAACUAUGAUAAAAUAAAUAAACCAGGAAAUUAGCAUGGUACAAUUACAACUCAAACAGGACAUUAUGAUAAAUACAUAUCACGGCAUGAAACAAGGAUGAAAGAAGCAUAUUAAACUAAUCAUGAACUAAUGUCUGCCAAUUAAACUUCGAAGCAUUUCAUUUCCAUUUUUCUCGAAUCAAAUUGGAAGGUUACAUUUGUAUGAAUUUCAGAAGUGUGUACCUGGAAGUAAAAUGAAAGGAAGAAAAAGUGAGGGUCAGUAGCACAACAACAACAGCUCAGCAGUAAACCAGAGACAGUUGAAUCCAAUAGUAGCCAAGAAUAAUUCAAAAUUCAACCAAACAUCCCAUGAGAUUAACUCAGACGCUAAUGAAAAACAGCAAACUCUGUUUGCAUAAAUCAGAACAAUCUUUCUAAAAAAGAUCCAAUUCAAACCACUUCAAAUCCCUCAAUGAAUCCCAAAUUGUUUCAGCUAAUUGGAGCAAAGACACUAUUGUAAUAGUAUAAGAUUGCAACUAUUUGUAUUUCUAGAUCUUCUACACUCUCAGUGUGUCUAAUUUGUCAAACUCAAAGUGUUUUUCUAGUAAGCUCUCUCUUGUAUCUCUGUUAAACUCUCAAUUUCUCUUGACCGAUUGUCUUUUUUCAAGUUUUUGUUCUCCAAAAUAUGAUCCCUUAAAAUUAUCCAAAUGACUCCUAUUUAUUUGAAACAAGACCUUCUUUCCCUCCCCCUUUAACUAUUACUAUUACCCUUUUAUUAUUAGCUCUUACUUUAAUUUCCAACCCCCAAAUAUGCUCUUCUAUGUGUGCUUUUCAGCUUUUUAUCAUUACUUAAAUAUUCCUAAUUCUCAAUCAACCAAAAGCAGUCAAAUGUUAUCAUUUUCAAUGGUCCCCCCUAAUACUCUUUGUCUAUUAACUUUUCACUUCCACUUAUAAUUGUCUCCAAUCAGUUUAUUAGCAUCUUUAACUUAAUUACUAGUGGUUAAAUUCAAAUAAACACCUGAAAUCCCCUUUCAAACUGUAACAUACCCACAACUAAAUCUAAUUCAAACCUGCUAACUAAUUAAAUUGACUCCUAAUCGAUACAAAUAAAUUGAAUUUAAAUAAAAAUCACAUAAAAGACUUAACAGAAUACUGAAGUUGGAACUUAAGCUAAAGCUGAAUCCCAAUCUCAUUGAUACUUAACAGAAGACUCAACAACAGUUUGCAAUUUGGCCUUAAAUUAGAUCAAUGGUAUCACAACAAUCAGAACAAAACCAUAUUGAACUAUAAAUGGUAUAGAUACAAGGAGCAAACCUAAUACAUUUCUAAAUUAAACCUAAAAUAAAUGUGUGAACAACUCAACACAGACAAGAUAUAAAGAUGAAUGAGCUCAUAUGCAAGGAUGAUGAAUGACAGAGAGAGAAAGGAACAAAUACAAACGAACAAUCUGAACUAGGAAUAACAACAUAUAACUAUGGGAAUAAUCAAAAUUUUGUACCAUAACUUAUGGGCAUUGACUGCUUCGACUCACUUAACCAAACUAGAAGAAGAAAAUUUCAGGGUAAAUGAACUAACUGACCAACCUAUUCAAUUGAUUUGAACAGCCUAUAACAUGUGCUAAUCAAUCAGAAGAAUAAAAAUGGACCAUAAAAAAGGUCUGAUGGAGAAAGAGAAUGAAUUACAUAAGUAAUACAUUAAAACGAAGCUUAAUCAGAUAAAAUAAAAGGGAAAUACGACAACAAGAAAAAUCAGAAAAGAGAAGAAAUACCUUAAAACUACAAGCUAAACUUCAAUAUGUUCCAAUUGAAACUUUGACUUGAGGUUUUGAAGCCAAAAUGGACCUUAAUCGAGUGUUCUCGACUGAGAACACUUGACUAAGGUCGAUUACGACCUCAAAUUCUUUUGGCUUUUCUAGGGCUAGUUCUGUUGAAAUAAAAUUCGAAGAACUCUGCAAUGAUUUGAGUGAAACCAUUAUAGGCUUUGGGGCAAGAGUGGUCUGGUGGUCAAAUGUUGUAUCUUUGAGAAGGUUGGGCAGUUUUAGGGUUUUGCUCGAACCUUCUAUUGAAGAUUUGAGACGGCCUGGGAUGAUUCGAGGCAAGAUGAGUAUAUAUUUGGAGAGGGGAUUGUUUGGUGGUUCUAUGGUGUGAAGAUGAAGUUAUUUGUCCAUCGUCCGCCGCCGUGGGCAAUUUCCGGUGGGCGGAGGAUGGCGGAUUGAUGCGGAGCAAUUUUGGUCUCUGAAGGCUCAGAGACGAAGAGGGUAAAGGGAGGGGUUG